UGCCAGCAGCCGCGGUAAUACGGAGGGUGCAAGCGUUGCUCGCGAAUCACUGGGCGUAAAGCGCACGCAGGCGGCUUUUCAAGUCGGAUGUGAAAGCCCCGGGCUCAACCCGGGAACUGCAUUCGGAACUGGGAGGCUUGAGUUCGAGAGAGGGUGGUGGAAUUCCUGGUGUAGAGGUGAAAUUCGUUGAUAUCAGGAGGAACAUCGGCGGCGAAGGCGGCCACCUGGCUCGAUACUGACGCUCAUGUGCGGAAGCGUGGGGAGCAAACAGGAUUAGAUA
rnacentral:rRNA from 1 species